AUCAACGCGGCGACAACGAUCGCAACCUGCUGACUGGCGGAUUGCCAGCUGGUAUAAAACCCUUUAUUGCCUGGCGUUGCGAUUUCGGACAGAUAGACCGAGACGCCGCCUAA
rnacentral:sRNA from 1 species